UGCUGUUGACGAACUGGCCGGGCAG
rnacentral:miRNA from 1 species